rnacentral:rRNA from 1 species
CGAACGAGCACGAUUUCCUUCGGGAUGAUGUGCUGAGUGGCGGACGGGUGAGUAACGCGUGGGUACCUGCCUUGUACAGGGGGAUAACAGUUGGAAACGGCUGCUAAUACCGCAUAAGAUCGCAUGAUAAAAACUCCGGUGGUAUAAGAUGGACCCGCGUUGGAUUAGCUAGUUGGUGAGGUAACGGCCCACCAAGGCGACGAUCCAUAGCCGACCUGAGAGGGUGACCGGCCACAUUGGGACUGAGACACGGCCCAAACUCCUACGGGAGGCAGCAGUGGGGAAUAUUGCACAAUGGGCGAAAGCCUGAUGCAGCGACGCCGCGUGAGUGAAGAAGUAUUUCGGUAUGUAAAGCUCUAUCAGCAGGGAAGAUAAUGACGGUACCUGACUAAGAAGCACCGGCUAAAUACGUGCCAGCAGCCGCGGUAAUACGUAUGGUGCAAGCGUUAUCC